rnacentral:rRNA from 1 species
GGGUUGUGAGGUUAAGCGACUAAGCGUACACGGUGGAUGCCCUGGCAGUCAGAGGCGAUGAAGGACGUGCUAAUCUGCGAAAAGCGUCGGUAAGGUGAUAUGAACCGUUAUAACCGGCGAUGUCCGAAUGGGGAAACCCAGUGCAAUUCGUUGCACUAUCGUUAACUGAAUACAUAGGUUAACGAGGCGAACCGGGGGAACUGAAACAUCUAAGUACCCCGAGGAAAAGAAAUCAACCGAGAUUCCCCCAGUAGCGGCGAGCGAACGGGGAGCAGCCCAGAGUCUGAAUCAGCUUGUGUGUUAGUGGAACGGUCUGGAAAGUCCGACGGUACAGGGUGAUAGUCCCGUACACCAAAAUGCACAGGCUGUGAACUCGAAGAGUAGGGCGGGACACGUGGUAUCCUGUCUGAAUAUGGGGGGACCAUCCUCCAAGGCUAAAUACUCCUGACUGACCGAUAGUGAACCAGUACCGUGAGGGAAAGGCGAAAAGAACCCCGGCGAGGGAGUGAAAAGAACCUGAAACCGUGUACGUACAAGCAGUGGGAGCACCUUCGGGUGUGACUGCGUACCUUUGUAUAAUGGGUCAGCGACUUAUAUUCUGUAGCAAGGUUAACCGUAUAGGGGAGCCGCAGGAAACCGAGUCUUAACUGGGCGUUAAGUUGCAGGGUAUAGACCGAAACCCGGUGAUCUAGCCAUGGGCAGGUUGAAGGUUGGGUAACACUAACUGGAGGACCGAACCGACUAAUGUUGAAAAAUUAGCGGAUGACUUGUGGCUGGGGGUGAAAGGCCAAUCAAACCGGGAGAUAGCUGGUUCUCCCCGAAAGCUAUUUAGGUAGCGCCUCGUGAAUUCAUCUUCGGGGGUAGAGCACUGUUUCGGCUAGGGGGUCAUCCCGACUUACCAACCCGAUGCAAACUACGAAUACCGAAGAAUGUUAUCACGGGAGACACACGGCGGGUGCUAACGUCCGUCGUGAAGAGGGAGACCGCCAGCUAAGGUCCCAAAGUCAUGGUUAAGUGGGAAACGAUGUGGGAAGGCACAGACAGCCGGGAUGUUGGCUUAGAAGCAGCCAUCAUUUAAAGAAAGCGUAAUAGCUCACUGGUCGAGUCGGCCUGCGCGGAAGAUGUAACGGGGCUAAACCAUGCACCGAAGCUGCGGCAGCGACACUAUGUGUUGUUGGGUAGGGAGCGUUCUGUAAGCCUGCGAAGGUGACCUGUGAGGGUUGCUGGAGGUAUCAGAAGUGCGAAUGCUGACAUAAGUAACGAUAAAGCGGGUGAAAAGCCCGCUCGCCGGAAGACCAAGGGUUCCUGUCCAACGUUAAUCGGGGCAGGGUGAGUCGACCCUAAGGCGAGGCCGAAAGGCGUAGUCGAUGGGAAACAGGUUAAUAUUCCUGUACUUGGUGUUACUGCGAAGGGGACGGAGAAGGCUAUGUUAGCCGGGCGACGGUUGUCCCGGUUUAAGCAUGUAGGCUGGUUAUCCAGGGCAAAUCCGGAUAAUCAAGGCUGAGGUGUGAUGACGAGGCACUACGGUGCUGAAGUAACAAAUGCCCUGCUUCCAGGAAAAGCCUCUAAGCAUCAGGUAACAUUGAAUCGUACCCCAAACCGACACAGGUGGUCAGGUAGAGAAUACCAAGGCGCUUGAGAGAACUCGGGUGAAGGAACUAGGCAAAAUGGUGCCGUAACUUCGGGAGAAGGCACGCUGGUGUGUAGGUGAAGCCCCUGCGGGUGGAGCUGAGACCAGUCGAAGAUACCAGCUGGCUGCAACUGUUUAUUAAAAACACAGCACUGUGCAAACACGAAAGUGGACGUAUACGGUGUGACGCCUGCCCGGUGCCGGAAGGUUAAUUGAUGGGGUUAUCCGUAAGGAGAAGCUCUUGAUCGAAGCCCCGGUAAACGGCGGCCGUAACUAUAACGGUCCUAAGGUAGCGAAAUUCCUUGUCGGGUAAGUUCCGACCUGCACGAAUGGCGUAAUGAUGGCGGGCUGUCUCCACCCGAGACUCAGUGAAAUUGAACUCGCUGUGAAGAUGCAGUGUACCCGCGGCAAGACGGAAAGACCCGUGAACCUUUACUAUAGCUUGACACUGAACAUUGAGCCUUGAUGUGUAGGAUAGGUGGGAGGCUUUGAAGCGUGGACGCCAGUCUGCGUGGAGCCAACCUUGAAAUACCACCCUUUAAUGUUUGAUGUUCUAACGUUGGCCCCUGACCGGGGUUGCGGACAGUGUCUGGUGGGUAGUUUGACUGGGGCGGUCUCCUCCCAAAGCGUAACGGAGGAGCACGAAGGUUAGCUAAUCCUGGUCGGACAUCAGGAGGUUAGUGCAAUGGCAUAAGCUAGCUUGACUGCGAGCGUGACGGCGCGAGCAGGUGCGAAAGCAGGUCAUAGUGAUCCGGUGGUUCUGAAUGGAAGGGCCAUCGCUCAACGGAUAAAAGGUACUCCGGGGAUAACAGGCUGAUACCGCCCAAGAGUUCAUAUCGACGGCGGUGUUUGGCACCUCGAUGUCGGCUCAUCACAUCCCGGGCUGAAGUAGGUCCCAAGGGUAUGGCUGUUCGCCAUUUAAAGUGGUACGCGAGCUGGGUUUAGAACGUCGUGAGACAGUUCGGUCCCUAUCUGCCGUGGGCGCUGGAGAAUUGAGGGGGGCUGCUCCUAGUACGAGAGGACCGGAGUGGACGCAUCACUGGUGUUCGGGUUGUCAUGCCAAUGGCACUGCCCGGUAGCUAAAUGCGGAAGAGAUAAGUGCUGAAAGCAUCUAAGCACGAAACUUGCCCCGAGAUGAGUUCUCCCUGAGACUUUAAGUCUCCUGAAGGAACGUUGAAGACGACGACGUUGAUAGGCCGGGUGUGUAAGCGCAGCGAUGCGUUGAGCUAACCGGUACUAAUGAACCGUGAGGCUUAACCUUACAACGCCGAAG